UGUUCAGUGGGGGGCGUGUCUAGGACUGUCUAACCUGAGAAUGGUGAUGUGUGAGGGUCAAUCUCAGGUUCGUCAGCCCAUGAAACGCCUUCUCCAGAUCC
rnacentral:miRNA from 13 species